rnacentral:rRNA from 1 species
CAAUAGCGUAUAUUAAAGUUGCUGCAGUUAAAAAGCUCGUAGUUGGAUUUCGGGUGGGAAUGGCCGGUCCGCCGUUUCGGUGUGCACUUGCUACGCCCACCUUGCUGCCGGGGACGUGCUCUUGAGUUCACGCUCGGGACACGGAGUCGGCGAGGUUACUUUGAGUAAAUUAGAGUGUUCAAAGCAGGCCUACGCUCUGAAUACAUUAGCAUGGAAUAACACGAUAGGACUCUGGCCUAUCUUGUUGGUCUGUAGGACCGGAGUAAUGAUUAAGAGGGACAGUCGGGGGCACUCGUAUUUCAUUGUCAGAGGUGAAAUUCUUGGAUUUAUGAAAGACGAACUACUGCGAAAGCAUUUGCCAAGGAUGUUUUCAUUAA